rnacentral:rRNA from 1 species
GAUGAACGCUGGCGGCGUGCCUAAUACAUGCAAGUCGAACGCUGGAGAUCUAGCUUGCUAGAUCGAAGGAGUGGCGAACGGGUGAGUAAUACAUAAGCAACCUACCCACGAAGACUGGGAUAAUCUCUGGAAACGGGGACUAAUACCGGAUAGGUAAUCGGAAGGCAUCUUCUGGUUAUUAAAGGUUAAGAACACUGGUGGAUGGGCUUAUGGCGCAUUAGUUAGUUGGUGAGGUAACGGCCCACCAAGACGAUGAUGCGUAGCCGGCCUGAGAGGGUGAACGGCCACAUUGGGACUGAGACACGGCCCAGACUCCUACGGGAGGCAGCAGUAGGGAAUUCUCGGCAAUGGGGGCAACCCUGACCGAGCAACGCCGCGUGAGUGAAGACGGCCUUCGGGUUGUAAAGCUCUGUUGUAAGGGAAGAACGGUAGAUAGAGAAUAUCUAAGUGACGGUACCUUACCAGAAAGCCACGGCUAACUACGUG